ensembl:lncRNA
AUGAAAGGAAAGGAAAGGAAAGCAUCCUUGGAAGAGCGAACUAACACAAAACUUUCGAAGCCAAUCUUGAGAGGAAGCCUUUGUCAAGCCCCUCGGUUGGGAAUCUCUUCAUAUCCCCCUCGGACCUGCUUCAGUAUUCCUUUCAGCUGCAAAAAAAAAAAAAUCCACCAGGUUCUUCAAACCUUCAUCUCUCCCUCGAAGGAUGUUUCCGAACCUCUUUUCCAAAGGGAACCGAACAGAAGAACGACGUCUCUCGUUCCUCGGUCAGACCUUCAGCUCGCCGCAGAUGUUCCAUGCAGAUCCUCCGAGUCGACAGCCGCAAAGAGCUCGGUCCAAGUGCACAGGAGCCAUCUGAGCACAGAUGUUCCUGCAGCACGUGGCGGGUCUUGUGAAAUGAUUUUAAUGGCACUGGAACAUCUUGGAGACUAUUUCCUCUUCACCUUGACAAUUUCCAGUCUCUCCUGCAGAUUAGUGUCAAGAAGAUGAGUCAACAAACAGAACCGCUGAGUCCUUAUUACGGCCCGAACUCGUCACCGCUGAGGCGACGGAGCGAAGGAGCAGGUGGAGCCAAGAGCCGUGGAUCAAAGAGGGGCUGAGAUGUUUGUGGUUCAAAGUCUUUCAUGGUUCUCGCUGUGGACAGCGUGACCAACGGGAUCCAGAGGAGGAAUCCCGUUCCCUCUGCUGAGUGAAUCAUCUGGAAUCAGGUGGAUUUUAGUCAACGUCUUUGGCAUUUCGUUUUGUUGACUCCUAUGAGAGACGACCUUCAAAACUGAUUGAAACCCUUGAUCAUUACAUGUAUGUUUAUGCAUUAAUGAUGUGCAGCUCUUCUUGAAAUCCUGUGUGUGUGUGUGUGUGUGUGUGUUUUGUAUCGCUUUAUAUGUCUUUUACACCUGUACCUCUAAGUUAAAUCUCCUCAUUGUGACCUCAGUAACAAUGAAUAAUUAGAUUAAGUGCUUCACUGCUUGGGUCAUCGGAUAAACACGAUUUAAUGAAAAUAUAAAAAAUAUAUCGUCGGCUUGUAGUAGAACGGACUGUUACCUGCGAACACCAGUUUGUUCGUCUUCAAUCUCAACAACAUUCAUUCAACGUUUUCAGUGUUCAACCCUCAGUGUGGAAAAAUAAAACACAUUUUUCUUCUUCUCCACAGAAUCUUUUGUUUUGUAUUUAUUUGGUGAAUAAUGUCACUGCUGGUUUCAGGGUAUUUUGUGGUAUUGUGAUCUGCAGAAUGUACGGUGCCAGUAUUAAUCCUCCUCACCUCCCGCUCAUUAAAUUAAUAUAUAUACAUAUCUAUAUACAUGGCGCCUCCACCGUCAUUCUAUUACUUUGUGAAGAGAGGAUUUAAUUAAAGCAGAAAUUAAAUUAAACCACAAAAGAGAGUAGAGUGAUAGAGGGAACAAUGAAGCUAUUUUAUUCUUUAUUUCUAUGUAUUACUUCGCUCUGGUUAUUAUUCCUCGCUUCCUCAUUUGAACUACAUCAUGUUUCAUAAUUAUGUUUGUGCCUUGGUGGUUUUAUUAGUUGUCGUAAUUAGGGCGGCACAUUGAAUGGGAAUCAUUGUGAGCUUUGUUAAACCACAAAUACUAAAUGAGAAGAAAACGUGUAUAUCAGGACAAUCAAGAUUAAAAUGGAAUUCAGCCUCCACACAAAGGUCUUUAAGAAACAGACUCUUCCUUUUAAAUUAUGUCAUAUUAAGUAUAUAUUAGGGCUGCUGUUUUUAAUGAAUGUUUGUUUUUCUUCUAAAGACAAUCUAGUUAUGAGAAAUCACUUGAGAAAAUGUUUAUAUUAGACACUAUUAUUGUUAAUGUUAUUUUAAACAAACAUUUGAUCAUCUUGGAGGCAGAAUUAGCAACUCUUCCAGCUAGCUUAGCCUAGCAGCUAGCUCAGCCUAGCGGUGCUUUAAGUGGUCCGUUUGUCACUCACCCCCCUUCGGUUAGACACAAGGAGUAAUUCCUCUGCACACAUCUCCGCUGUAUGUCUUUGUUUUACAUCCAAUACGAGAAGCUCUCUCCACCUUGAGCUUCCGUCUCGCUUUCUCCGAUGUAACUGACUGCAGCUGGCGGCCGUUCGGUUUCUGCGGUCAACUUCCGGUUUACUUCCGGAAGUAAACAAAGCUACGUUAACUACGUGAAAAUAUUUUGUCGCAUUAAUCUCGGCCACAUUAAUUGCAUAUAUUAACGCGUUUAUGUUGACGGGUCUAGUAUAUAUUGACUGUACGGGCUGGCGGAGCCGAUGCGAAACGUGUAAACGUAUAUAUGCGAGGCUAUGCGGCUCUGGAGAAGUUCUGAUUUUGGAACUUGUGUGAUGAAGGUAAAAGGUGUCGAAGCGCUGACGUGAGUGUGAAGUGUGUUGAGCUGCAGGGAAUGUCAACAUCGUCUUCUGAAAAUCCAAAAGGAUUUUUUUCUCAGAGAGGCAGUAAAUGUGUGUCGAGUGUUUGGCUGAGAUCUUUGAGUCAAUACAACAGUUUCCGCCAGGAAAAGAAAAAAGGAAAAAAAGGAAUCAAAACACAUUUCAGCCCCUGGACCCUCUUUCAAAAGGAUUUCUAAAAAUAUAUCCCUGGCCAUUUCCACACACGCACACACACAGACACACACACACUGUUUCUACAAGGCGAGGAUGCAGAAAUCCUACUUUCAUCCUUCCGUAAUGUGAUAAAUACGGUAUAUAGUCCCCCUUUUUUUACCCUCGCAGGACGAAUCAGAGCACUCGUCUGGCUCGCUUCCAUGUGUUCACACAACACAUGUUUCUCUGUGCUCUCCAACCCUGAUUUAAACAAACACCCACCUAGCGCUCAUCUGACAUCGGAGACUCGAGCGUCGUGUGACUCAGACUCUUUUCCUUUCAUCUCAUUUGUUUCUUCCUCCGUUUGCUGUGACAGCGACAAUGUUAUUGUCUCGCUGUGUUCACCAUCAAUGCACGCCGCUAUCACGGUGAAAAAACAAAAAAGCAUCGUCUCUAAUUUCUCGCCGCAGUGUCUGUCUUGAGAAUCCGUAUUGCUGUGUGUGUUGGCGAGAAGCGCUGGACAUCGUGUUGUGCCCACAACUACGAAGCAAAAGCAGCAGGCCGAGAGCGCAGCAGCAGGUCGCUGCUUCAGUAUCUACUGGACGCUCUCCUCCCAGUGCUGCUGCCCAACACACAGUCCCUUGCUACGAACAGACACGCCUCAGUGCAACGAUGGGUCAUGCAAAUGUGACCCGUUACAGACCCCGUUGACAGCUGUGUUGAUCAGAUAUUUAACGGGCUCAUUGAGAGAUCCGGAGCUGCUGAACAUUUCACAUGAGCUCUCACUCGUUCUCUUCUCACGUGAACUCGUUUCACUGGAUCGUUAUGUGAAAAAGUCAAAGUCAUUAGUUUUCAUUUGUUCUCCGUGGACCUCGACUGUUGUCAAAUUGAUGCAUCCAGCAGUUGUCGGCUGAUCUCCAUUUGUACCAAAGUGUCGGACCGACCUCUGACCGAACCGCUCUUACACCUCUGACCUCUGACCUCUUUGCCAAAGCAGCACUGGAGAGUAUAACAGGAAAAAAUAACAGUUUCCCAAAAAAUUCACUAAUCUUCUAUACGAGAGGAAGAUAGUAAUCAGUUCAGCGACUCCCUCGGGAUGAAUAAGAUUACAUAAUGGAUUACUUCAACCUCCAUCUGUGCUUUUUAUACAAACUUCAAUAACACGGCCGAGCUUUGAAUAUGUUAGCCGCGAUGCAAUGGGGCAGCCUCAAUAUUAUUAGACUUUCUUCCCUUUGGUACAAUAUUCCUCCCAGUCCUACAAAAUCAAAUCUGUCUUUAUCGUGAUGAUUUAAAUAAACUCUACUUUAGACGCUGAGCACACAUUUCAGAUAGUCAGAAGGUUUCAUUAAAUAAACGCAGCGACAGAUAAUGUUUUUACUAAUAACAAAUUAUUAUUCUGCUGCCAAGCAAUUUAAUUGUUCUGGGUAAUUUGGGUGCUCGUACACGUUUGUAUGGAAUUGUUGAAGUAAUAUUCUAACAUGUUAGCAUUCUUUGUGUUUGACUUUGCACUUUAAUGCACUUNNNNNNNNNNNNNNNNNNNNNNNNNNNNNNNNNNNNNNNNNNNNNNNNNNNNNNNNNNNNNNNNNNNNNNNNNNNNNNNNNNNNNNNNNNNNNNNNNNNNCCCCCCCCCCCCCCCCCCCCCCCCCCCCCCCCCCCCCCUCCUCCCAUGACUCAUGCAGCCAGCAGGUAUGAGUCACACAUGUGGAAGCACCUCGCUCAUGGCAACAGCCACCCUGCCAAUGUGGACACUCGGGUCCUUGUAGAGCGGCUUCCUGUGGAGAUAAAGAGAGUCCAGCAUGAAUGUCGGGUAUUUCAUCAUCUAUUUUACUUCCUCAGGUUGUCUUCAAAAUCUUUAAUAGCGCCGAUCAAAAAGCAGUUAGGCCUAAAUCUGAUAACCUGUGUACCGUAAACUGCUGGCAUCACGCACUGCAGACGCUGCUCAUUCCAGAGCUGCUCUUCCAGAGCUUUAAUAUAUAUUUUGUAUAUACAGUGUUCUGUGUUUGUAGCACACAGAGGGCUAAAAAACGGCAUUUUAGUGUGGAAAUCCAAAAAGAGAAUGAAACCUUGCGUCCACUUACAAAUACUGACACCGUAUGGCUGAAAAAGGCUGAGGAGAGAAACGCUGAGACCCUUUGGAAACGAGAGGACCCCAUAUGGGGCCCAAACAAGCCUCAAUCAGAGCCCCAAAAAGUUAAUCAUGAAAGCUGAAGAGUAAACGUACUUCAAAUCUAACUCUCCUCGUCUCUCUUCUUCUACGUCCUCGCUCUCCCCCACCCUCCGUCACCUCUCCCGACUCGGCCUCCGUCUUUACCCUUUCAUGUCCCUUUUAGUCUGCACCUUGCUGCCUCCUCUUUGAUCUCGCCCCUCAGCUGUUUCUCCUCACACACGCACACGCACACACGAAUACGCACACACGCACACUGUCUGCGUUCUAAGCUGUUUGGCUGUUUCUCAGCAGAAGGUGAGGUGGAUGAAGCAGAAUUAGUUCACGGCAAAACCUCUCUGUUCUUAACCUGCUGUCACGCUCCUCGGGC